GACGAACGCUGGCGGCUUGCUUAACACAUGCAAGUCGAGCGGUAAGGCCCUUUGGGGUACACGAGCGGCGAACGGGUGAGUAACACGUGAGUAAUCUGCCUUUGGCUUGGGAAUAACUUCGGGAAAUCGGGGCUAAUGCCUGAUGUUUACUGUCUGCUGCAUGGUGGGUGGUGGAAAGAUUUUUUGGCCAGGGAUGAGCUCGCGGUCUAUCAGCUUGUUGGUGGGGUAAUGGCUACCAAGGCUUUGACGGGUAGCCGGCCUGAGAGGGUGUUCGGCCACACUGGGACUGAGACACGGCCCAGACUCCUACGGGAGGCAGCAGUGGGGAAUAUUGCGCAAUGGGCGUAAGCCUGACGCAGCGACGCCG
rnacentral:rRNA from 1 species